GAUGAACGCUAGCGGCAGGCCUAACACAUGCAAGUCGAGGGGUAGAGGAAGCUUGCUUCCUUGAGACCGGCGCACGGGUGCGUAACGCGUAUGCAAUCUACCUUAUACAGAGGGAUAGCCCAGAGAAAUUUGGAUUAAUACCUCAUAGUAUUAUGAAAUCGCAUGGUUUUAUAAUUAAAGUUCCAACGGUAUAAGAUGAGCAUGCGUCCCAUUAGUUAGUUGGUAAGGUAACGGCUUACCAAGACAAUGAUGGGUAGGGGUCCUGAGAGGGAGAUCCCCCACACAGGUACUGGAACACGGACCAGACUCCUACGGGAGGAAGGAGUGAGGAAUAUUGGUCAAUGGACGCAAGUCUGAACCAGCCAUGCCGCGUGCAGGAUGACGGUCCUAUGUAUUGUAAACUGCUUUUAUACAGGAAGAAACACUCCCUCGUGAGGGAACUUGACGGUACUGUAGGAAUAAGGAUCGGCUAUCUCCGUGCCAGCAGCCGCCGUAACAC
rnacentral:rRNA from 1 species